rnacentral:rRNA from 1 species
GUGGGGAGUAUUGGACAAUGGGGGAAACCCUGAUCCAGCCAUGCCGCGUGAGUGAUGAAGGCCUUCGGGUUGUAAAGCUCUUUUAGCGGGGAAGAUGAUGACGGUACCCGCAGAAUAAGCCCCGGCUAACUUCGUGCCAGCAGCCGCGGUAAGACGAAGGGGGCUAGCGUUGUUCGGAAUUACUGGGCGUAAAGGGCGCGUAGGUGGCCCAGCAAGUCAGGCGUUAAAGACCCAGGCUCAACCUGGGGAAUGCGCUUGAGACUGCAGGGCUUGAGACCGGAAGAGGAGAGUGGAAUUCCCAGUGUAGAGGUGAAAUUCGUAGAUAUUGGGAAGAACACCAGUGGCGAAGGCGGCUCUCUGGUCCGGUUCUGACACUAAGGCGCGAAAGCGUGGGGAGCAAACAGGAUUAGAAACCCCAGUAGUCC